UUGCAUUCAUUUUUUGUGUAUUUGGUUCUAUAAAAUUUAUCACACGUGUAGAUUCAUGUAUAGAUAUACCUGCUCAUGUAUAUUUACUUCACUGAAGUAAAGAUAAUAGGACAGUUCCACCACUCAUCAUCACAAGGAUCCUGUGUUGUUCUCUCUCUCUCUCUCUCUUCUACAUAUAUACAUAUAUAUAUGUUUUUUUUAAGAUGGUGUCUCACUCUAUCGCUUAGGCUGGAAUACAGUGGCAUGACCUAGGCUCACUGCAACCUCUGCUUCCUGGGUUCAAGCAAUCCUUCUGCCUCAGCCUUCUGAGUAGUUAGGAUCGCAAGUGUGUGCUACCACGCUUGGCUAAUUUUUGUGUUUUUAGUAGAGAUGGAGUUUCACCAUGUUGGCCGGGCUGGUCUCGAACUCCUGACCUCAGGUGAUCUGCCUGCCCUGGCCUCCCAAAGUGCUGAGAUUACAGGCGUGAACCACCACGCCCACCCCGGGUUGCACUCUUAUAAGCACAUUCAUCAUCCCUUCCUUUCUUCCCCUUUCCUCUCCCUCAUUGCUCACUCCACUCAUCAUCCAUAAUUCUUAGAAACCAUCCAAUCAUUUCUCAAUAUUUAAUGUUUCAUCCUUUCAAAAAUCUUAUAUACAGGAAACAAUAUGGAAUCUUUUGAAAUUGGCUUCCUCUUUUUUUUUGAGACAAAUCUUGCUCUGUCUCCCAGGCUGGAGUGCAAGGGCACAAUCUGGGCUCACUGCAGCCUCUGCCUCCCGGAUUCAAGUGAUUCUCCUGCCUCUGCCUCCCGAGUAGCUGGGACUACAGGCGUGCGCCAUCAUGCUCUGCUAAUUAUGUGUUUUUAGUAGAGAUGGGGUUUCACCAUCUUGGUCAGGCUGUUCUUGAACUCUUGACCUCGUGAUCUGCCUACCUCAGCCUCCCAAAGUGCUGAGAUUACAGGCAUGAACCACCAUGCCCAGCCGAAAUUGGCUUUCUUAAAAAAUUAGCAUAAUUCCCUAGGUAUUUAUCUAAGUUGUGUCUAUCAACACUUUGUUCUUUUCCGUUGCCGACUAGUUUUCCAAGGAAAGGAUGAAUCAUAUUUUUAAUUUUCCAUCUGUUGAAGGAUACCUGAACUGAUUCCAGUCUUUGUCUAUUACAAAUAAAGCUGCUGUGAACAUUCGUGUACAGAUUUUUUUUUGAUAUGGGUUUUUCUGUCUUUGGAAUAAAUACUAAAGAGUGAUAUUGCUAAGUUGUACAGUAAUUGCAUACAUAAUUUUCUAAGAGAGUGCCAAACUGUUUUCCAACCUGGCUGUACCAUUUCAUAGUUCCACCAGUGAUAUAUAAAUGAUCUGUAUUCUUCAUAUUCAUGCCUGCAUUUGGUGGUGUCACUAUCUUUAAAAUUUUAGCCAUUUUGACUGAUGUGUAGUGAUAUCUCAUUAUGAUUUUAAUUUGCACUUCCCUAAUAGCUAGUGGUGCUGAACAUCUUUUCAUGUGUUUAUUUUCCACAGCUGUAUCUCCUCUUCAGCGAAAUUUCUGUGCAUGUCUUUUGCUCAUGUUACCGGAUUUUUUUACUAUUAAAUUUUAAGAGUUUUUUUUUCUUAAUUCUAGAUACUAAUUCUUCAUUGGUAGUGGCAUUUGCAAACAUUUUCCCCAGUCUAUAGCUUGUCUUUUCAUUCUUUUAAUGGGAUCUUUCACUAAGUAAAAUUUUUUAAUUUUGAUAACGUUAAAUUUAUUAGUUUUUCCUUUUAUGGAUCAUGCUUUUGGUGUAAAGUUUAAGAAAUCUUAGAUCCUGAAGAUUCUUUCUAUUUUUUUCUAAAAGUUUUAAAGUUUAUGUCUCACAUUUAUGUUUGUAUCUAUUUUGAUUAAUUUUUUAUGAGCUGUGAGACUUAGGUUGUGUUCAUUAUUGUGCCUAUCGAUGUUAAAUUCCUCCAGCACUGUUUGUUGAAAAGAUUUUCCUUCUUCCAUUGAAUUGCUUUUGUAUCUUUAUAAAAAACUCAGUUGGGCAUAUUUGUGUAGGUCUAUUUCUGGGUUCUCUGUUUUGUUCCAUUUAUCAAUAUGUCUAUUGCAUUUUCAAUGCCACAGUGUCUUGAUUGCUAUGAUUACAUAGCAAAUCUAAUACCACGUAGAAUAAUUCCUCCCAUUCUGUUCUUAGUACAGAUUUUUUUUUUUUUUUUUUUUUUUUUUUUUUUUUUUUAGCUAUUCUAGGGCCUGGUGCUUUCCAGAUACAUUUUGGGAUAAGGUGUUCUAUGUCUACAAAAUCCCUUGCUGGGAUUUUUGUAGGAAUUGGAUUAUAUCUGUAGAUCAAUUUGGGAAGAAUGGACAACUUUUCUAUGUUGAGUCAUCCAACUCAUAAAUACAGUAUGUUUCCCUAUUUACUUAGGACUUUAAAAAAUUCAUUUCAUCGGCAUUUCAAAGUUUUCAGCAUACAGAUUCUGUAUACAAUUUGUUAGACUUAUCCCUAUUUCAUUUUCUUUGGAACAAUUGUAAACUGUUAUGUUUAAUUUUAGUUUCUACAUAUUCAUUGUCGGUAUACAGAAAUAAAGUUGAUUUUUAUGCAUUGAUCUGAGUUUAAGAAAGCCCUCAUGCUUAUUAGUUCUAGGAUUCUAUUUUUUUUUUUUUUUGGUCUACAUAGAUCUAUAUCUAUGUAGACAAUCAUGCUACCUACAAGCAGGUCCGGUUUUAUUUCUUCCUUUUUGAUCUGUAUAUGUUAUUUAUUUUCCUUGUUUUAUUGCAGUGGCUAAAACUUCCUCCAGUAGUAUGAUGAAUAGAGUCAUAACAGUGGAUAUUAUUGCUUUGUUCCCAAUCUUAAAGGAAAAGCAAGCAUUCCUUUAAUGCUAAGUAUAUUAGCUGAAGGUUUUUUGUAGAUGCUCUUUAUUAAGCCAAGAAAGUUCCCUUCUUUUUUAUUUUUAUCACAGAUCUUGGUAAAUGCUUUUUUUGUGUGUCAAUUGUUAAGAUCACGCAAAGUUUUAAAUUUAACUUAUGAUGGAUUACAUUGAUUGAUUUCAAAUGUUGAACCAGCCUUACAUACCUGGAAUAAACCCCACCUGGUUAUGGUGUAGAAUUCUUUGUAUACAUUGCUGGAUUCAAUUUGUUAAUAUUUUGUUGAGAAUAUCUGCUUCUAAAUUGAUGAGUGAUAUAAAUCAUUGUAUUGUCUUUUGUAGGCUUGUUAUAAGGGUAAUACUGACCUCAUAAAAUUAGUAGGGAAGUGUUUUGCUUCUUCUAUUUCUGUAGGAGAAUGUGUAAAAUUGGUGUUAAUUCUUCUUUAAAUUUAUGGUAGAAAUCUUCAAUACAACUAUCCAGACUUGGAGAUCUCUUUUUGUGGAAACUUUUAUUUACAAAUUCAAUUUCUUUGAAGAUUACAGAACUGCCCAGAUUGUCUGUUUUAUCUUGAUUGAGGUUUGGUAGUUUUAGGUUUUCAAGGACUUUUUUCUUUUCUUUUCAGUUGUUGACUGUGUGAGUUUAAAGUUAUACAUCAUAUCCUUUAUUUUUCUUCUAAUGGCCAAAGGAUUCAUAGUGAUUUCCUUUUUUUCAUUUCUAAUUUUUAUGUGUCUUUUUUUUUGGCCAGUGUUACUAGAGGUUUAUGCAUUUUACUGAUUUUCUUUCAAACAGACAGUGUUUUGCCUCAUUCAUUUUUUUCUAUUUUUGUAAAUGAAUGCAGGUCCAGCUGUUUGCUGCUUGCGAAGUCUUAAGAAUGAGUGAGGUCUGGUAAAAGGAAAGUGACUUCAUUAACAAAAACUAGCAGUAGGGAAGUGGCUGGAUUCAUAUCCAAAGGAAUCACAUUGAACUUGUAGGGAGAAGGCUAGGGUUUAUAAAGAGAAACUUCGUAUGGGACACAUGCAGUUGUGUUGAGUGCAAGGUGUGUGUGUCCUUUUUCACUGGCUAUCUUGGAUCUCUGUCUACCUGGAGUGUGGGCUGACAUCAUCUGAACAAUGGCUGGGUUGGUGACUAGCUGCCUUGAGGUAAUCUCUGGAAUUCUGCUCGGUCUCUAGGCUCGGUCUAUCUGUCUCAAGGUUAGCCCUUGAACUCCUAAAAUCCACCUGGAAGUGAUGAUUCCCCUGGAAGUCAUCCAAUAUUAAAUGCGUUGCUUCCCACCUUUACAUUAACACAGAAAAGUCACUCGCUGAAAUUUCCAGCAUCCUCAGAGCUUCAAGGCAAGUACAGCUGUUCUAAGUAAUUUUCAUCAUUUC
rnacentral:lncRNA from 1 species